rnacentral:rRNA from 1 species
AGCGCAGGCGGGAAGACAAGUUGGAAGUGAAAACCAUGGGCUCAACCCAUGAAUUGCUUUCAAAACUGUUUUUCUUUGAGUAGUGCAGAGGUAGAUGGAAUUCCCGGUGUAGCGGUGGAAUGCGUAGAUAUCGGGAGGAACACCAGUGGCGAAGGCGGUCUACUGGGCACCAACUGACGCUGAGGCUCGAAAGCAUGGGUAGCAAACA